CACUAAGAGGCAAAAUGGCGGACUUUAACUGUUGACAUGACCUCCUUGGAACAUUCAGUCUGGUAAGGGAAAAGAAUUAAACAUCAAAUCUUCCCUCAGGGACUCCAGAUAAGAGCCCAGGCCAAAGGGCACCUUGAUUUUGACCUUGUCAGACCUGGAGUUGAAAAACCAGCUGCACCCUUCUAGAAUUCUUACUUACAAAACUGGAGAUGUUACAAGACAAGAUGAUUUCACUGGGAGCUGAGUUUUGCCAGAUUUGGGGAAAUACUGAUGCAGAACAUCAUUUAUUUAAGGCUGAUACUCAUGGAUAGAAGAGUCAAAGUGCGAAUAUAUGCACCCUUCUAUAUGGAUUCUGCAGAAAGAUAUGCUUGGGUCAUGACUCCGGUGAAUUUCCUAUGAAACUUUGUCUUUGGUAAAGCAUCCCAUCCUUGGCUGUUCCAUAUAUAUAUAUGGGUGUAUUUCUUCCUCUGAAAGUGUACCUUCCCUGGAGCUUCAGCCUAAUGCCUGAGGUCCUCAGUGAGGUCCCUCCAUUCUUCCUAUCUAAGCUGAAACUUCAACAUCUUCAGGAGUGUGUGACACCUGGUAUGUCUGCUCAGUUCUGAGCUCUGUAGUGACUCCACUGUUGUGUUUUGGAAAACUUGUCAUGUGCACAUGAAUAAUUUAAUCUUAGAUUAUUAAAUUAUUGACUUUAAUACCUCAUGUUUAACUAAGAUAAUUAACAUCAGAAUAUCAUCUAAGAUUUGUCUUCUUAAAAAUCAAGUUUUACCAGAAUCUUAAUAUGAAUUAUAAAAUUAAUGAUUUUAUUGGGACAGUUUUAGAGAUCUGAUACUUAUUUGUAAUUUGCAAAUAUUCUAAGAUGUUGGUCAUUAGAGAACAUAUAUGAAUACGUGCAUGUGGUAGUUAGGAGAGUGGAAAUGAAUACAAACUAUUAAUGGGUUGUUGCAGAAUAUUCUGACCUUACUGAAUAAACACACAAUACAUAUGCGCACACAUUCAUAGAAUCAGAAAGUCAUGAAAAGGCUGAAUGUAAAACAAAGAGCAUGAGAGACCCAUGUUCUUAAAUUCUAUUAGUACUAAAACUUCCAGUUAACAUUGUAGAAACAUAUAUAUUAGAGAAUUAUGAAUAAACACAGUCCUUGACGUAUGCACAAUCUGAGUUGAUCAAAGGACACUGGCAGAAACAUUAAAAAACUAACUUUGUAAGAUAUUUCACUGCAAUUUUAUAAAUUUCUUCAGUAUAGUAGUUUUGUUUUCCUACUCAUUACAGGAUCUGGGGCCAUCUGUUUUUAAAAUAAUACCUUGCACAUAAUGGGAGAUCUUUACAUAAAGUUUGAAUAAAUUAAGGAAGAAUUAAUUAGCAAGUCCAUUCCUGCUAUAUGUCAUUUAAGCAAUUUUUUAUUCAUCAAAACAUACUACUUCAAGCUAAUAUUAAAUGGUUUAUAUUCAUGAAACCAUGGGCUAUUACUUAAUUCCUAAAAUUUAACUGCAAAAAAUCAUUGAUUUAUACACUAUACAAGGUAAUAUUCUGGUUCAUUCUCUGGAACAAAUUGCAACUUAAUUGAAAAUAGUAUGAAAGCUAAUAAGUAUAAUUCAAGUGAAAAGCCUUAAAUUCCGUAAGAAUUAAAAACCUUUGGUAAUUAAUAUACCAAACUUUUGGUAUUUGAAAGUGAAAAGAUGUAUUCCUUUAAGAAAAAUAAUAAAGUUGUCAAGAUGAGGAAGAAUUAAACGUACAUAAUAUUGGGCCCUAAUAGAUGAGUGAUGAUAACAGAAAGUAACGUCAGACAAGACAACAGAACAGUAUGGGGUGUUUUCAGGGAGUAUUAUCUAAUCAACCUGGCGUUCUAAUGAUAGUGACUAUGAUUUAGCAACCUUACUUUGCCCUAAUGUGAGUGGCUUAUUAGAAGAGGCUCAGGUCAGAAGGGGGAUACUAGUUGAGCAAGCUGCUGCUAGAAGUAAUGAGGCAAGAAACAGGAUUUUAACAACAUUAGAGAUCUCGUUAAUUCAAACUAAUGGAAAAAAUUGCAGUAACAUAAAAUGUAAAUCUCUCCAACUUUUAAAUUUAUAAUUGGCAGAGAAGGAGAAGCUAUUGAAGAUCUUGAUGCUUUGAAACUGUAUGAGAGGUGUUGUUAUCAAAAGAACUAGCUAGGAGAAAAAAGAAAAUAUACGUUGAUGGUAGCUGUUGGAUUUAAUUCUGGUUUGAAAUAUUUAGGCAUGAAUCUGAUCCUGGAUUUCAAAUGGACCUUUACUGAAAAUGUCAAGUGAUAUUAAGAUGCAUAAGAUUGAACACUACAGCAUCUUCUUUCAAUAAUUUGAUUUACUCACCCUUAUUUAAAGAAUUGAAUCUUUCUGUUCUCAAGCCUCCUUUUCGCCAAUUAAUUUGAUUCAGGACAAAAAGUGGUGUUUGAUAUUUUUAACUUUAAAAUAAGUCAAUUUUCCUGCAUGCUUAAAUAUUCUGUUAUCUUGAAUUCUAAUGAAGGACUUAUAACUACGUAUUUAAUAUUUGGUAAAUUUAUACAGAUGUAACAUAUUAUUGAAAUAAGAUUGUAUAAACUAAACAAGAAAAUAGACUGAAAAUAUUGUCUCAAAAAGAACAAUUCUUGCUAUGCUUUUCUUGUAUUUAUAUUUUAUUCAUGUAAGCUGUUUUCUAUCCUGGAAAUAUCAUCCUCCUACUCUCCACCUUCUUUUCACCCUUCACUCUUGUCUUUCAAUGCUUAGCUAAAAUUAAACUCCUCAAACAGGCUUUCAAAGCUCAGUGUAGAAUCAUCUGUUAUUUCCUGCUUCCUCAGUAUUAACUUUUUAUAUAUUAUAUGUCUUGUUAUAUGUAUAAAUGUGUAUUUCCUAAAUCACCAGUACACUGUAAACUCUAUGAAGUUAGAAAUGUAAAAUCAACACCUAAUUUGGUACUUAUUCAUAAUGAGAAUUUAACAUUUUUUGCAUUGAUAAAUGAAUAUAGGUUAGCAAACCAGUAAAAUACACAUUUCACACGCUGGCAAGUGAUUUAUUGAUCACAUACCAAUUCUAAUACUGGAGCAUCUUAUUUCAAAGAAUAUGAAGCAUUUGUGGUAAAUAUUCACAAAUUUGUUAGUAUAUUUUAAUUCUUAUUUUAUAGCUCAGUUUUAUUUUUGAUAAAUAUACAAAACUAUCAAAAUCUGAAUACUCCAUUUGCAAGCUGCUCUUAUCUAAUAAUCUUACCUUCAUUUCCUUUUUACAUCUUCUACCUUAACCAUUAAUUUUGCUAUUUUAAAUUGGCAAAGCCAUAUUUUGCAUCAUUCUAGUUUGUGCCUAUCAUAUGGAAAAGCAGAAGUGUUAUCUGUGACUGUUUGUAUUUUAUAAUUAAUUUGAACUGUUUGAAGUGUGAUUUGUUCAUGGAGUCAUUGGAGAGGCAUAAUAUUAUUAAAAGCCAGAUGUUGGCACAUUUUGCAUGCUUAACAGGCACAAAACCAUUUCCUAAUGGAAACAUUUUAAAAAUGGUUUUGGUUCCCCUGUACGGAUUAUCAAUUCAAGUAAUCUCACUUACUUUUCUUUACUUACUUUACAUGGGGCAAGUAUAUUGAUAUCUGAAACUGCAUUUGAAAAAUUUGGGAAAACAUUGAUCUUUCUGGCAAAUAGACUUUACUAAUUAAACAUACCUUCAAUAUCUUAAUGGGAAAUUGAAACAUAUCUCAAUUUUACUGCUUGAAAACCAGCAAUGCCAAGUUAUAUUUCUCAAUAAAUAAAAUUAUCUCUUAUUU